AUUAUGGACAAGGACCUGCUCAGGUUGGCUAGAUUGUGUUAUUUGCAUACGUCUUUCAUUAUCUGUAUGCCAUUUCGAUUGUUUAUAAACAAUCCAUUCUUCCUUCCGUUCGUUUAUAUACAUUUAGCUAUCAUUUACAUGGUUUAUUGUUUGUGGCUGCUUUAAAAUGUUCUAUGUUGGUGAUGCAGAACUGUAUCAGGAGUCAAAAUGAAGAAAGAGUAU
rnacentral:misc_RNA from 1 species